rnacentral:rRNA from 1 species
GAGGAUUAUACUGUCUCCCCCCCUAAAUCAAUGAAACUGAUCCCCCCGUGAAGAAGCGGGGAUAAAUAUAUAAGACGAGAAGACCCUAUGGAGCUUUAAACUCAACACCACCUACCUCAACCAACCCCCUCACAAACAGGUAGAGAUCGUGUAUGUUUUCAGUUGGGGUGACUGCGGAGCAAAACAAAACCUCCACGAUGAAAAAUAACCUCUAAUCCAAGAACAACAUUUCAAAGAAUCAACAAAUUGACAUCAAUUGACCCAAAUAAUAAUUUGAUCAACGAACCAAGUUACCCUAGGGAUAACAGCGCAAUCCAUUUCAAGAGCUCAUAUCGACAAAUG